rfam:Ciona savignyi cont_50313, whole genome shotgun sequence.
AGUGCGGCAACGCAAACGAACUCGGAAACGCCGACGUGGGUCCCGGGAAGAGUUCUCUUUUCUUGGUAAGGGGCGGCGACCCUGGAAUCGGUUCGCCCGGAGAUAGGGACAUGGGCCCCGUAAAGCAGCACGUCUCUUGUGCUGUCCGGUGAGCUCGCGUCGGCCCUUGAAAAUCCGAGGGAGACGGUGUAAUUUUCGUGCGAGGUCGUACCCAUAUCCGCAGCAGGUCUCCAAGGUGAACAGCCUCUGGCCGAUAGAACAAUGUAGGUAAGGGAAGUCGGCAAACUAGAUCCGUAACUUCGGGAAAAGGAUUGGCUCUAGGGGCUGGGUCGGUCGGGCUGAGGUACGAAGCGGGGCGCGGCGCUGUACCGGACUGGGCGAACGACGGCCUCCCUCGCGGGGGGCUGGCGUGAGCCUGGACCUGUGUCGGCGUCUUCCCGUGGAAUGCCGCAGCUAACGCGGGCCUCGCGGCCCGCUUCGGCCGGCGUCGAACAGCCGACUUAGAACUGGUACGGACCGGGGGAAUCCGACUGUUUAAUUAAAACAAAGCUUUGCGAUGGCCGUCAGCCGGUGUUGACGCAAUGUGAUUUCUGCCCAGUGCUCUGAAUGUCAAAGUGAAGAAAUUCAACCAAGCGCGGGUAAACGGCGGGAGUAACUAUGACUCUCUUAAACUCGCGAAACGCCGACGUGGGUCCCGGGAAGAGUUCUCUUUUCUUGGUAAGGGGCGGCGACCCUGGAAUCGGUUCGCCCGGAGAUAGGGACAUGGGCCCCGUAAAGCAGCACGUCUCUUGUGCUGUCCGGUGAGCUCGCGUCGGCCCUUGAAAAUCCGAGGGAGACGGUGUAAUUUUCGUGCGAGGUCGUACCCAUAUCCGCAGCAGGUCUCCAAGGUGAACAGCCUCUGGCCGAUAGAACAAUGUAGGUAAGGGAAGUCGGCAAACUAGAUCCGUAACUUCGGGAAAAGGAUUGGCUCUAGGGGCUGGGUCGGUCGGGCUGAGGUACGAAGCGGGGCGCGGCGCUGUACCGGACUGGGCGAACGACGGCCUCCCUCGCGGGGGGCUGGCGUGAGCCUGGACCUGUGUCGGCGUCUUCCCGUGGAAUGCCGCAGCUAAAGAGCAAAAGGGCAAGAGUUUGACUGGGGCGGUACAUCUGUCAAAGAGUAACGCAGGUGUCCCAAGGUGAGCUCAGCGAGGACGGAAACCUCGCGUAGAGCAAAAGGGCAAAAGCUCACUUGAUUUUGAUUUUCAGUAUGAAUACAGACCGCGAAAUAAACCGAAUCAACCUCGGAAAUACCGCUCACACUAAUCAAAGUUAACGUCCCCAACUCUUUACCACUGCCUAACAGGCAUCAACCGGGACGGAAGGACCGCGUAAACAGAUCCCUCGUCCAGAUUCUAUUUGAAUAAGGUUCUGAAAACUUCUAGAGCUACAUAAACGCCAGCACCCUGUGGUUGCCUGUGGCACUUGAAAAAGGACCAUAUUCGGAAAAGGACCGCUUCUGCAAGCGAAAUUACCAGAGAACUAGAAAAACUCAGACACAUCGUUGCACAGUAGAAGAAUUUUCACCAGAAAAACGAAGAUGCAACGAAAUCCUCCGCAAAAUAUGCAAGAGGAUCGUCUUAAAUUCAUUUACAGAGGACCCGCUCGCAUAGCCUGCGCGCUAUGCGAUGCAGUCCUCGGUACCGACGGC